rnacentral:rRNA from 1 species
GUCCUCUUGUUUAUAUAUGAGGUCAGACCUGCCCGGUGAAUUUUAUUUUAACGGCCGCGGUAUUUUGACCGUGCAAAGGUAGCAUAAUCAUUAGUCUUUUAAUAGGAGGCUGGAAUGAAGGGUUUGACGAGGUGCUGACUGUCUCAUUUAAUUUGAAAUUAAAAUUUAACUUUUCAGUUAAAAGGCUGAAAUUAUAUUGGAAGACGAGAAGACCCUAUAGAGCUUUAUAGCUAUAGUUUUAAUUAACUAUUGUUUAAUCAUUAUUUUUUAUAAUUAUAUCUAUUUUGUUGGGGUGACAAAAAUAUAAAAGUAACUUUUUUAUUUAGUGUUCAUUGAUUUAUGAACUUUAGAUCCAAUUUUAUUGAUUGUUAGAAUAAGUUACCUUAGGGAUAACAGCGUAAUCUUCCUUCAGAGUUCAUAUUUACAGGAAGGAUUGCGACCUCGAUGUUGGAUUAAGAUAAUAAUUAGGUGUAGCCGCUUAAUUUAUAGGUCUGUUCGACCUUUAAAUUCUU